rnacentral:lncRNA from 1 species
CUAGAAGCGUAAAAAUGCAUACACACACUUCGUAUAUAUAGCCCUCGGUCCUCCUAUUCUCUUCAUUGCUUUUUCUAACCUCGCAUGAGCUCUUUCUUAUCUCAUAAUUUUUUCAGUUUCUUUUUGAGUUUUAUGUGAAUUUUGCUCUCUUGUCUCAAAUAUCAUUUUUAUUUUAUCUAUUAUGCGUGUUUCGCUGCUGUGAUGAUGCAAAUUUGUGGACUAGAGUUUCCGAUCUGGGUCUCAAGCCCCAGAAGUUGAAGACUAACCCUUGGCUGUCUGAGCAUAAAUACGUAUGAUCAAUUCCUUAACCUUUUCGUGUAUUAUCUUCUAAAAAUAUCGAAUUUUUGUAUGAUUAUAUCCCAUUUGUAGAUUUUUCAGAUCGGUUUUUAAUGAUUAUCUAUUGGCUUAUGAUGAUAAAUUAAUUAUCUUAGCGGAUUUCAGUGAGAUUUUAUAAAUCAAUGAUCUGAUUGUUACACACACUGAAGCCAAUUAUUAUAUUCUUUUCUCUUUUUUUGUGCAUAAUUCGUGCUAUGAAGAGAUAAAGCACAAACGGUGUUUUUGGGCAGUGGAUUAAGAAGAGCUUAUGAACUCUUCUCCGUGAGCCUAAUUAACUAACGACUUCUCCUUCAUCUGAGCAUAUGAUUCUUAAUUGGAAGUUUUUUGCUUAAAUUCGACUUAAUUUAUACUUACAUAAAAUCAAUAGAUUUGCGUCCAUUACCAAUUCUGGGGGAUAAUUGGUUCCUCUUGGCAUAAUGGCUCGGACGCAAUAAUAAUUGUGGCUAUCCUGAUCAAUGGCGAUUCAAUGCCAUUUUGAUCCUGGAAACACCUCGUACAUUUUUCAUCACCAAUUUGAAGUUUAAUUUAUCAAUUAGGGUUUAUGAGUUAUUGCUUUCUGAGGCGUUGCGUUAACUGGUAUCCCAGUAAACGUGUCAAUGAAAGCAUAAAUUAAAAGUCAUAUCCAAUUAAAAGUUAUAAUUUCAGUAACAAACUGCAUUUUAAUUGCAAUUUGUUCAAUCAUUUGGAAUGUGACAUUUGCUGAUUAAAAGCCCUUUAUAUCUACAUUUGAAUUAUGUGUUGAAGCUUUAAAUGGGCAGUUGCUUCUUAAUGGUGAACUCUUUCUUUAUUGUAACGGGAGAGUUCAAGUUUCCCGAAGCAUAGAUGAAAUUGACAGUUUUAAACAGCUCGAUGUUCUUUAAUCUGUGGCAUUGUGCUACCUGUCUGCUGCUACAUUUUUAUUUCUGGUUAAAAAUGAUUCCUACUUGACUUCGCCAAACUUUGUUUCAGUGGACUAAUUUCUUGACAUCCAGUGACUUCCACAUAUAAUCAUCUAAGGGGCGAGGGGGAAUAUGUUCUAUGGCAAUCUUUAAAUCUAGGACUUUACACCAAAAUCCUAUAUAAUAUCUAAACUAUCACUCUCUUAAACACCAGUGGCAUACGUUAAGUAUUGGAGACAUGAUACAUCAUUUAAUUGAUGAAUAGUAUGUCAGUACUUAAGAGAUCAUUUUUGUGUAAACUAUUAUAAAGGAAAGUUUUAUGAAUACACGUUUAUGUAAGGUAUAAUUAUCAAUUACAAAAUGGAUUUUACAUAUGUUAUAUUUGUAUAAUAGUUUGAAGUCCCUGUUUGAGUAACAAUAAAUGAAUUUUUUUUCUUAAAUUUGAUUUAGAUCACCCAUUCUCUGAAUAAAAUAUAAAUAUUAUGAAAGUAAAUUGAAAUUUUAAGGCAUCAUUGUAAUAUUUUUAAAUUGAAAUAACAAAUUUUGUUUGGUAUAAAUUUUAAGUCAAUUAAAAUUAAUUUUUUGCCAGUUAUUUCAAUAUUUUAGAAGUUAUUUUUGAAUUCUUCUCUCAUAUGUAGGAUUUACUCUAUUUUUAAUGGUAAAAAAAUUAAUUAUCAAAAUUUUCACUAAACAAGUUCUUAUUAUUUACCAUGUUUAGCAUGUUUUAUGCUAUAAAUCGUCAUGUUCUAAAAUAAAAGGGAAGAGAAUAAAUAAAGAGUUAAAAUUUAAUUAUGUAUUAUUAUGAACGAAUGUUAUAUAUUUAUGGAGUUCAAAAAAAGAGUUACAAUUAGAAUAAGAUAGAUCUUUUAAACUAUAGAUAAGAUUUAUCCAUGUAUCAUAAUAAUAUUAAAUAAUCAUCAAUAAUUAUUUUAAACAAAAGAAAAAGAAUACAAUUAUUUUAAAGUAUCAAAAAUAAAUGUUGUUUCAAUAAAAUUUUGCUAGGAAAAUUCAGUGGGUUAAAAUUUAAGCUAAGAAGAAAAAGUAUAGCUACUCCUUCUGAUGUUGAUCAAUGGAAAAUUUUGAUUCAACGCGUUCUAAUUUCAUGAAUUAAUUUCUUGAAUGUAGAUGUUGGCAGUGUUUUUGUAAAUAAAUCGGUCAUAUUGUCACUUGAACUAAUUUGUUGAAAAAAGUAUACCUAGUCCUUUUGAUGUUGAUCCCGGGAAAUUUUUGAUUCGACGCGUUCUAAUUUCAUGAAUUAAUUUCUUGAAUGUAGAUGUUGACAGUGUUUUUGUAAAUAAAUCGGUCAUAUUGUCACUUGAACGAAUUUGUUUAUGUGUAUAAAGAAUUUUGAAAAAAAUAUGUUAUGUCCUAUCACUUUUGAUAUAGUCUUCUCUAAGUUGUGCAAUAUAAUCUGUAUCGUUUUUAUACAAACUUGUUGGAUUAUCUUUUGUUAAAAUUAAUUCGCAUGAUACUUGGAUGUGAUGGGUUAUGUUUCUCAACCACACAUAUUCUUUGCUUGUUUCAUAAAUUGUAAUUAUUUCAAAAUGAAUUGAAGAUGUAGCUGUCAAAGAUUGUUUCACAGAUCUUUAUGAUAUAGUCGUUCCUCCACGUGUAAAUACAUAACCUGUUUGUGAUUUAGCCUUAUGUGGGUCAGAUAAAUAAUCUACAUUUGCAUGUCCCAUUAAAACAGGUCUCGACUUUUGAGAAUAAAAUAAUCUCAAAUCAAUAGUACCUUUUAGGUAACGAAAAAUAUAUUUAACAUCAUUUCAAUGUCUUUGAGUUGGUUUAGAGUUAUAUUUUGUAAGGAGAUUUAUAGAAAAAGCUAUUUCUGGUCGAG